rnacentral:rRNA from 1 species
UUGGGAAUCUUGCACAAUGGGGGCAACCCUGAUGCAGCGACGCCGCGUGGAGGAUGACGGAUCUAGGUCUGUAAACUCCUUUUACUCGGAAAGACUUAGGACGGUACCGAGAGAAUAAGGACCGGCUAACUACGUGCCAGCAGCCGCGGUAAGACGUAGGGUCCAAGCGUUGUCCGGAUUUACUGGGCGUAAAGGGCGCGUAGGCGGCCUAUUAAGUGUGAAGUGAAAUCUCCAGGGCUCAACCCGGAAAUUGCUUUGCAAACUGAUAGGCUCGAGGAAUGCAGAGGCAAGUAGAAUUCCCGGUGUAGCGGUGACAUGCAUUGAUAUCGGGAGGAAUACCCAUGGCGAAGGCAGCUUGCUGGGCAUUAUCUGACGCUGAGGCGCGAAAGCGUGGGGAGCAAACAG